GCUUACACAUGCAGUCGAACGGCAGCACGGACUUCGGUCUGGUGGCGAGUGGCGAACGGGUGAGUAAUGUAUCGGAACGUGCCCAGUAGCGGGGGAUAACUACGCGAAAGCGUAGCUAAUACCGCAUACGCCCUACGGGGGAAAGCAGGGGAUCGCAAGACCUUGCACUAUUGGAGCGGCCGAUAUCGGAUUAGCUAGUUGGUGGGGUAACGGCUCACCAAGGCGACGAUCCGUAGCUGGUUUGAGAGGACGACCAGCCACACUGGGACUGAGACACGGCCCAGACUCCUACGGGAGGCAGCAGUGGGGAAUUUUGGACAAUGGGGGAAACCCUGAUCCAGCCAUCCCGCGUGUGCGAUGAAGGCCUUCGGGUUGUAAAGCACUUUUGGCAGGAAAGAAACGUCGUGGGUUAAUACCCCGCGAAACUGACGGUACCUGCAGAAUAAGCACCGGCUAACUACGUGCCAGCAGCCGCGGUAAUACGUAGGGUGCAAGCGUUAAUCGGAAUUACUGGGCGUAAAGCGUGCGCAGGCGGUUCGGAAAGAAAGAUGUGAAAUCCCAGAGCUUAACUUUGGAACUGCAUUUUUAACUACCGAGCUAGAGUGUGUCAGAGGGAGGUGGAAUUCCGCGUGUAGCAGUGAAAUGCGUAGAUAUGCGGAGGAACACCGAUGGCGAAGGCAGCCUCCUGGGAUAACACUGACGCUCAUGCACGAAAGCGUGGNGAGCAAACAGGAUUAGAUACCCUGGUAGUCCACACCCCUAAACGAUGUCAACUAGCUGUUGGGGCCUUCGGGCCUUGGUAGCGCAGCUAACGCGUGAAGUUGACCGCUUGGGGAGUAC
rnacentral:rRNA from 1 species